GGAUGUGGCUCAAGCGGUAGCGCGCCCGCCUGGCAUGCGUGCAACCUGGGUUUGAUCCUCAGCACCA
rnacentral:tRNA from 1 species